rnacentral:rRNA from 1 species
CCUACGGGGGGCAGCAGUGAGGAAUAUUGGUCAAUGGGCGCGAGCCUGAACCAGCCAAGUCGCGUGAGGGAAGACGGUCCUAUGGAUUGUAAACCUCUUUUGUCGGGGAGCAAAAGACGCCACGCGUGGCGUUCCGAGCGUACCCGACGAACAAGCAUCGGCUAACUCCGUCCCGGCAGCCGCGGUAGUUCGGAGGAUUCGAGCGUUAUCCGGAUUGAUUGGGGUAAAAGGGUGCGCAGGCGGAAGAUCAAGUCAGCGGGAAAAGUGGGAGGCCAAACCUCUUCGAGCCGUUGAAACUGGUUGGCUGGAGUGAGAGAGAAGUAGGCGGAAUGCGUGGUGUAGCGGUGAAAUGCAUAGAUAUCACGCAGAACUCCGAUUGCGAAGGCAGCAUACCGGAGCGCAACUGACGCUCAUGCACGAAAGUGUGGGUAUCGAACAGGAUUAGAUACCCUAGUAGUC